rnacentral:rRNA from 1 species
GAUGAACGCUGGCGGCGUGCUUAACACAUGCAAGUCGAACGAAGCACUUUAUUUGAUUUCCUUCGGGACUGAUUAUUUUGUGACUGAGUGGCGGACGGGUGAGUAACGCGUGGGUAACCUGCCUUGUACAGGGGGAUAACAGUUGGAAACGGCUGCUAAUACCGCAUAAGCGCACAGCAUCGCAUGAUGCAGUGUGAAAAACUCCGGUGGUAUAAGAUGGACCCGCGUUGGAUUAGCUAGUUGGUGAGGUAACGGCCCACCAAACCUACGAUCAGUAACCGGCCUGAGAGGGUGAACGGCCACAUUGGGACUGAGACACGGCCCAAACUCCUACGGGAGGCAGCAGUGGGGAAUAUUGCACAAUGGGGGAAACCCUGAUGCAGCGACGCCGCGUGAGUGAUGAAGUAUUUCGGUAUGUAAAACUCUAUCAGCAGGGAAGAUAAUGACGGUACCUGACUAAGAAGCACCGGCUAAAUACGUG